UCGAUGGAGAGUUUGAUCCUGGCUCAGGACGAACGCUGGCGGCGUGCUUAACACAUGCAAGUCGAGCGGUAAGGCCCUUC
rnacentral:rRNA from 1 species